AGCGGAGGAAAAGAAAUUAACUAAGAUUGCCUUAGUAACGGCGAGUGAAGUGGCAAAAGCCCAAACUGGAAAUCUUCAUGCUUCGCAUGACGAAUUGUAAUCUAAAGAGUAGAAGCUCACCGGUAGGUCUCGCAGAAGUGCCUUAGAACGGGCCGCCAGAGAGGGUGACAGCCCCGUAUGUGGUGAGACUUGCUAACGAGCUCUGCUUGAAGAGUCGGGUAGUUUGAAUUGCUGCCCUAAGUGGGAGAUAGACUUCUUCCUAAGGCUAAAUACAUGUGGGAAACCGAUAGCGAACAAGUACUGUGAAGGAAAGAUGAAAAGAACUUUGAAAAGAGAGUUAAAAGACUUGAAAUCGUGAGAAGGAAGCGGUAGAAAAUUAUUCUCUGCGGUAGCAAAGUGUUCCACACGAGUAUUACGGGUGUAUAGUACGUCAAAGGCUUGCAUUCGUACGUGCUUGUUGGAUUGCGGAGCUCACGCAGUGAGGCAAAAUGAGGUGUUGAAUCCACAAAAGCUUCUAGGAUUUGGGACUCUUCGGAGUCCAUUCCUGGUCUGCUGGUGGGCUUAGCGCCUGAGGAUGCUCUGUGCGAUUUUGCCAAAAUGGUUUUUACCGACCCGUCUUGAAACACGGACCAAGGAGUCUAACAUAUAUGCGAGUGUGCUGGUGGAGAAACCAACACGCACAAUGAAAGUAACAGAUGCCAAGCGCAAGCAGCAGCAUCAACCGAUGAGGUUCCUCUGGUGCCUAUUCGAGUAAGAGCAUAUCUGUUAGGACCCGAAAGAUGGUGAACUAUGCCUGAGUAGGGUGAAGCCAGGGGAAACUCUGGUGGAGGCUCGUAGCGGUUCUGACGUGCAAAUCGAUCGUCAAACUUGGGUAUAGGGGCGAAAGACUAAUCGAACCAUCUAGUAGCUGGUUCCCUCCGAAGUUUCCCUCAGGAUAGCUGGGACAAUAACGCAGUUUUAUUAGGUAAAGCGAAUGAUUAGAGGUAUCUGGGGUUCCUUACCCUGGACCUAUUCUCAAACUUUAAAUUGGUAAGAACCUUUGCCUUUCUUAAUUGAGGUGAGGGGGUCAAUGCGUGUCCCUAGUGGGCCAUUUUUGGUAAGCAGAACUGGCGAUGAGGGUUGCUCCUAACGCUGAGUUAAGGUGCCUAAAUGCAUGCUCAUCAGACACUACAAAGGGUGUUGGUUCAUUUAGACAGCAGGACG
rnacentral:rRNA from 1 species